GAGACCUAAGAUGGCGGCGUUUGCAUAAUGUGAAAGCGAUGCAGGCGUACCAGAUUGGAGAGGCAGGCAAAGGAUGUAUCUGCUAAGGAAGGUUCGGGAACUCGCCAAUACUUGUGGCCUCUCUAUUCCCUGAAAAACAAUAAUGAAGUUAGGCCAGUGAAUACCCUACAGUGGUUCAAGUGAAAGGAGGAAAAAUCACACAUCUCUCACUUUAAAUCAAAGGUAGAUCACAUCCAAAAAAUAAAAUACCUAGAAUAAACCUACCAAAGGAGGCAAAAGACCUGUAUUCCAAAAACUCUUAAGAAGCUGAUGGAAUAAAUUGAAGAUGACACAAACAGAUGGAAGAAAUACCAUGUUCUUGGAUUGCAAGAAUCAGUAUUGUCAAAGUGACCAUACUGCCCAAGACAAUCUAAAUUUUCAGUGCAAUCCCUAUCAAAUUUAUCAAUGGCAUUUUUCUCAGAAGUGGAGCAAAAUUUUUAAAAAUUUUAUGGAAACAUAAAAGACCUUGAAUAGCCGAAACAAUCUUGAGAAAGAAGAGCAGAACUGGAGGAAUCGUGCUCCUUGACUUCAGACUAUACUACAAAGCUACAGUACUCAAAACAGAAUGAUAUUGGGGGGAUGGAACCAGACAUAUUAUAGAUCAAUGGAUAGAAAGCCCAGAAAUAAACCCAUGCCCUUUGGUCAAUUAAUCUACAACAAAGGAGGCAAGAACAUACAAUGGAAAAAAGACAGUCUCUUCAAUAAACCAUGCUGGGAAAAUUGGACAGCUACAUGUGAAAGAAUGGCACAAUGAAUUAAGUAUACAGUGUUGUCACUGCAGCAUCUCAGGUCACUGCUGUGGCGUGGGUUUGAUCCCUGGCCUGGGAACUUCUACAUGCCAUGGGUGUGGCCAAAAAGACAGCCCAAAUCCUCCCAAAUAACCAUGAGAUACCACUUCAUACUGUGCCUAUAAAAUGGAAAAUAACAAAUGUCAGUAAUGAUGUGGAAAAGUUAAAAUUUUUGUUCCUUUUGGAGUUCCUGUCAUGGCUCAGUGGUUAACGAAUCCAACUAGGAACCAUGAGGUUGUGGGUUUGACCCCUGGCCUCGCUCAGUGGGUUAAGGAUCCAGCGUUGCUGUGGCUGUGGUGUAGGCUGGUGGCUACAGCUCCGAUUCGACCCAUAGCCUGGGAACCUCCACAUGCUGCAAGUGUGGCCCUAAAAGCAAAAAAAAAAAUUGUUCUUUUUAUGGGGGACAUCAAAUAGUGAGGCUACUGUGAAGAACAGUAUUGUAUUUCCUAAAAAAUUUAAAUAUAGAAUUUUUGUGACCCCAAUUCCAUAUCAUGUAUAGUCCUAAGUUAAAGGAAUAUUAAUGUUCAAGUAAACAUUUUGUAUGGAAAUAUGUACAGCCACAACUAUUUGCCAUAGGCAAAGGGUGAAAUUGUUUCAAAUAUCCACGAGUAGAUGAAUGGCUAGAGAAAGUGGUAUAUUCAUAAAAUGCAGUAUUAUUCAUCCAUAAAUAGGAAUCAAUUACAGAUACAUAGUAUGUCAUGGAUGUUCAUCUUAAUCAUUGUGCUAAGUGAAAGAAACCAGACACAUAAGGGCCUUAUUCUAUUUACAUGGAAUAUGAAGAAGAGGUAAAUCAGUAGGGGCAAAGCAGAUUAGUGGUUGUCAGUGACUAGAGAGGGUACAGGGAAUGGAGAAUGGAGAAUUUUGACCAUAGUGAUGAUUGCACAAAGGCCCCUGAAUUGUAUUAAAAUGGUGAGUUUUAUGUAUGUGAAUUUUACCUCAUUUUUAAAAAUAAAGGAAUUAAUCAUUUAAAAAAAAAUACGUGGUGGGCAAGAUAUAGCUCCCUGGGUAUAGUUUAUUGACUCUUGGUAUUGUUUAUUCAUGGCUAUUUGCAUUGCAACAUAUUUAUUACAAAUAUUUUUUAAUGAGACAGUCUAAAGACAUAUUUAGAAUGUAGUAGGAUAUAAGUUGUCACAAAAUGCUGGCUUUCAAAAUUUAUAUACAAAUCAUUAGAAUCAAUAUGCUGUUAGCCCUGUAGAGGAUUGGCAAAGACUUGAGCAUGUCCCACAUAAACCACAGUUGUAGGUCCUCAAGUUUAUUUGGCAACAGAGAAACAGCAAAAAUUAUAAGCAGUCCUAAUGUAUACUUUCUAGAAUGGGUCCAAUAAAAUGGAUUGAGGAUUCUAAAUAUUGGUGAGUAUUUUACUAACCAGUAUCUUUUACACAGGGAUGGUGUGAGUAUAAUUGGGGAUAGUCACAUUGGAAAACUUUUCAUGAUACGCCAUAAUACUGAACAUGCUCAUAUUUUCUGACUUAGAAAUUUCACUACAGUGUAUAUGCUUAUCAAGAUUGAUGUGUAUAUGUUCCCUAAAGACAUGUUAAUGUCUGUAGCAUUAUUAUUCUUAAUGGCUGGCUCUAAGCUGGAAAACAUGCAAAUGACUGUCAACAGAAUAGACACAUCAAUGGUAGUGGUGUUUCCUUUUUGUGGAUUACUACACAUUAUUGAAAUAGAACAAACUGCAACUACAUGUUAUGCAGUUAUCUCCUAUUAUUUUCAGCAAAGCAGCAGAAUGUAUUAACCAAAAGUUGGAAUAGUGGUUCAUCUGGGUAAAAAUGUAAUUAAUUAUAGCAGUGCACAUGUCACUUUAAUGAUGCCAAUAAUUUUUUCAAGUUUGUUAAAUUAUUCUUUGUGUACGUAUAUAAUUUAUACAGUCUUCUGUGUAUCAUAUUUUAUAAUAUAAUAAAAAUAAAAUUUCACUCAAAUACCAAUUUUUGAGGAUCCUUCUCAGGAUGUAUGGGUAUACCUUGGAGAUAUUGUGGGUUCAGUUCCAGACAACCACAGUAAAGUAAAUAUCACAAUAAUUUGAGUUACAUGAGUUUUGUUGAUUUACUAGUGCACAUAAAAGUCAAGUUUGCACUGUACUGUAGUUUCUUCUGUACAAUAGCAUCAUGUCUAAAAAAAAAGUACAUACCUUAAUUUAAAAAUUUUUGGAGUUCCUGUCGUGGUGCAGUGGAAAUGAAUCCAACUAGGAACCAUGAGGUUGUGGGUUCGAUCCCUGGCCUCCACUCAGCUGGUUAAGGAUGUGGUGUUGCUGUGAACUGUGGUGUAGGUCGCAGACGUGACUCGGAUCUGGUGUUGCUGUGGCUGGCAUAGGUCAGCAGCUACUGCUCCAAUUAGACCCCUAGCCUGGGAACCUCCAUAUGCCAUGGGUGUGGCCCUAAAAAUGACAGAAAUGAAAAUUCAUUGCUGAAAAAUGCUAAGCAUCAUCUGAGCCUUUAUCAAGUUAGUCGUGACAUCAAAAAUUACUGAUCAUCAUAAAAAAUAUAAUUGCAAAAAAGUUUUAAGUAUAUACUUCUGAAGUUUCUCCUAAUGGCAUACAGCAAAUGAUGAAAUAUUUAAGAGUUUUCUUGAAACUGAAGAGCAAGAUUGUGUGACAUUCAAACUACCACUCACUCAUUCUUCCCAUUUCAACUCAUUAGGAUGACUCUACUCUAAGUAUUGGAGCCAAAAAUAAAAAUAUCUCUGUCUUUUAGCUAGCAGUUCAGGUCUGAAGUCCAGAAUGGGAUGAUGCCAAAAUUUCUUAUUCUCCAGCUCAGUUUUGUAGAUCCUCAGUUCCACACAAUUGCAGCUGACAGGAUGAAGAUUUAUUCCUCUCCUCCCCACUCAGACACAUUGAAUAGGAGCUCUUCCUCAGGCUUAGUAUCCUUAGAAUACUGAACCCCCUGUCUUCACCGUAGGUCAUUUGUACCUUUGAAGUUCCAUAUUAGGUGGGGCAAAUUGAGAACACAGCAAUCCCCCAGUUUAAUACUUAAAAAUCUGUAUUGUCACUUUGGGGAUAGGUUGUCACUAUCUCUCUAGCUCUUUGGAUCUGGGUGACAGAUUCUGUUAAGUAGGACAGGCAGAACAUAAGAAUAGAGAGCCCUGAAGCCCUCCCUAAUGCACCUACUUUUAUUUUAUUUUACUUUAUUAUUUUACUUUAUAUUUUUAUAACUGCACCUGAGGCACAUAAAAGUUCCUGGGCUAGGAGUUGAAUUGAAGCUAUAGCUGCAGGCCUAUGCCACAGUCACAGCAAUGUUGGAUAUGAGCUACAUCUGCAACCUCUGCCACAGCUUGCGGCAGUGCUGGAUCCUUAACCCACUGAGCAAGGCCGGGGAAUUGAACCUGCAUCCUUAUGGACACUAUGUUGGGUUCUUAACCCACAAUGGGAACUCCCUAAACUACCGUUAUUUUAAAGAGUAUGGUGACAUUGAAGCCUAUGGGCAAACCCCAAAAUGGUAGAUAUUUCAGUAGUAAGUAAUUAGAUAGCUGGUACUUCAUGAGUGCAACCUGCCUAACUGUAGGCUAGCUAAUUUUCCACAGAGAACCAUGAAAAGCAUUGAGAGCAUUCCUUUUGUCUGAACAAAUACUGGCAUCAGUCACUACCACUGCAGUGGGCCUGAAUUUAACUGUAUUAGGAUAUUUAGUAAUAUAUGUUAUAAAUCAUAAAAAAAGAACUUGUAUUUAGUGUAGCCAACAGCUCAAUUUGUUCAAGACUAGAGACCACUUGACUCCUUGUAUAUUUGUCAUUCCAGGAUAACUGGACAUUUCCAGGGCUAAACCCUCUGAGAAGCAAUAUCAUAAGCUUAACAUUGUGUGAGAAAUAGACUUCAGUAAGAGUCCAGUGAAUCACUAAACAUUAAAAAUUUAAUUGAUAACUACCAUCCCUGGAGUUGUGCUUAACUAGCCAAUAUUGCUACCAUCAUUUAUGUCUUUUUUCCAACUGCAAAAAAAAUUGAGACAUGCAAAAAAAAAAAAAAA
rnacentral:lncRNA from 9 species